GAAUUUUGAGAAGAGUUGUAGCUGGCCUGCAAGGGCAUUUUGUGCACACUCUGAUCACUAUCCAUCUCAUACCUGUGCACAUUUUGUAAGUUGGCUUAUUGGGACAGGGAGUCUUCAUUGAUUCUUGUUUCAUGGCCCUCUUAUGUUUUUAUCACAUACCACUCAGUGAAAAGAAUGUUCAUUGCGUUUAACGCAUUUAUAUACAACUUUCAGCAACGGAUCUCUUGGUUCU
rnacentral:misc_RNA from 1 species